CCUACGGGAGGCAGCAGUGGGGAAUAUUGCACAAUGGGGGAAACCCUGAUGCAGCGACGCCGCGUGAGUGAAGAAGUAUUUCGGUAUGUAAAGCUCUAUCAGCAGGGAAGCAAAAAGACGGUACCUUACUAAGAAGCCCCGGCUAACUACGUGCCAGCAGCCGCGGUAAUACGUAGGGGGCAAGCGUUAUCCGGAUUUACUGGGUGUAAAGGGAGCGUAGACGGCUGUGCAAGUCUGAAGUGAAAGGCCAGGGCUCAACCCUGGGACUGCUUUGGAAACUGUGGAGCUAGGGUGCUGGAGAGGUAGUGGAAUGCGUAGUGUAGCGGUGAAAUGCGUAGAUAUUAGGAGGAACACCAGUGGCGAAGGCGGCUUACUGGACAGUAACUGACGUUGAGGCUCGAAAGCGUGGGGAGCAAACAGGAUUAGAUACCCCGGUAGUC
rnacentral:rRNA from 1 species